AGUCUCAACAGGACAAAACCAUGAUGAAUUGUCGCGAAGAUCAUUUUCCAGCCAGCUGCAUUUUAGAGCACACGGUUGGAAAGAAAGGUUUGGAAAAAGAAGUCGACAUGUUUCUCACAAUGGACCCUUGAUUUUGGACGCAGUUUUCACUGACAGUGUCGAGAACACGAUUUGAAUACAUUUCCUAAAUUGAAUAUUCAUCAGGACAUUCCCGUGGCAGAUUGACCAAAGUAUUGUAAAAGAUAUUCUCAUCCAGCUUCAUCACACGGACAUUCCCGUGGCAGAUUGACCAAAGUAUUGUAAACAUAUUCUCACCCAGCUUCAUCACACGGGCAUUUGCGAGACGUUUUGACACCACGAUUUGAAUGAAAGACAUUUCUUCUUUGGCCUUUGUUUCGUUAUAAUUUGAUUGAUUUAGAGGAUCUUUGUAUGUUUAUUGUAAAGUUGAAGGAUAAUUCAA